GCUCUUCAGAUCUGUAUAUUGCCCUGUAAAUUAUGGUAGUGGUACCAGGAAUAAAAAAUUAAGAAAUUUUUAACU